ACACACAUGCGGUGGGGAGGCAUGUUAACAAUGGAGGCAGAGGGUGGAGGGGUGAGGCUACCAACCAAAGGAGGCCAAGGAUUGCCGGCAACUACCAGAAAUUAGGAGUGAGGCAUGGAACGGAUUCUCCCUGAGAACUUCCAGAAGGAACCAACCCUGCUGACACCUUGAUUUAGGAUAUCCAGCCUCUGAACUGCCACCUCAUUUGUAGUGAUUGGUGGUGGCCAUCCUGGGAAGCGAACACACUAAUCAAAGAGAGACAACAGAAAAGUGACUUUCUCAAGUCACUCUUGGACCGCGUUUGGCAACAAGCCCUCUGGUCUGAAAGUCAUGGUUCCCCACUGGCGGUGAGUCGGCAGAGGGAAAAGCCGCGAUGAAUCAAUCCCUGGCCUCACAGGAAGCCUGCCUUCCUGUCAACAAAGCACACAGUGAAAAGCCGUCGACAUCAGGCCAGAGGGCCACCGCCUGGCCCCUGUCACAAGGCUCAGACAGAGAGAAUCUUGUCAUCAACGGGAGGGAAAAAUAGGAGAGCCCACCCAACUGCGUUCACAUCUGGUCCCCAGGAGGUCCCUCCUGCUCAGGGCGCGCCCGCCCGUGGGGACAGCUGGGAAGAUGAGGCCGAGGCCCCUCGAAUCUCAGUUUUAAUAACGGGCCAGAUAGUUCCCCACAAACCCACUUGACGCUCAAAGCAGUUCUUCAGCAUUUGGCAACCCAGUUCCCUUUGAGCAUCUGUUAAGUGCCAUGCAUCAGCUCUCUCCCCACGGGGGAAUAAAUCGUCUGAUCUGUACAAUUUCAAGGCCUCCUGAACUCCUGAAGCCCAUCCAUCGGCAAGCAAGUAUUUUGGAACUGCCUACUGGCCACCAGGCACUGUGCUGGAGGAAGAGACUAGGCAUUUUUCUUCCUGAAGCCCAGUGCUGGGAGGGCGGUGCAGAACUUCCCACGGCUGCCAUAACACGUCACUACAAACUCGGAGGCUUAGAAUGAUAGGAGUGUAUUUGCUCACAAUUCAGGAGGCGAGACGUCUGGUAUCAUGAUGUUCGCAGGGUUGGUUCCUUUGGGAGACUCAGAGGGAGGCUCUGUUCCAUGCCUCCCCUAGCUUCUUGGGGUUGCCGGCAACCUGUGGCCAUCCUUGGCUUGAAGACACAUCACCCCACCCUCUGCCUCCAUCUUCACAUCGCCCUCCCUUCUGUGUGUCUCCCUGCGUCCUCCCCUCUUCUUCUAAGGACACCAGUUGUUGGAUUUAGGGCCCACUCUGAAUCAAGUAUGGUAUCACAGAGAUCUUUAAUUACCUUUGCCAAGACCCUAGCCCCAAAUUAGGUCACAUCCUGAGGUUCUGGGUAGACAUGAAUUUGGGGGUGAUGCUCUUUAACCCAACACAGGUGGUCGGAUGGUUAAGCAGUCACCAUGGAGAGCAGCAAAGGUGAUGGCUGAGUCUACCUGAGGCAUCCAACACAGCGUUCCUGAGGACCUGGUGAGCAAUUGGGAAGCAAAUGGUGAGUAGAAGCUAAUUCAAUGGGAGCAGAGAAAAGUGCCCCAGAAAGAACGAAUCACACAGGUGAGGCCCAGAGAGAGGCCCCAACUGAGGACAGCUGUAAGACGGAAGGGGCCACACAGAGAACCGGUAUGGACGGUGUGCUGGUCUUAUGAGAUGCUCUCCGGAGUUUGGAUUUUAUUCUUAGGGUCACGACACGCCUUUGAAGUGUGGGAAGCAGAGGAGUGUUUCUAGACAGUUCACCUUGGCCGAGGUGAGGAGGAUGGACUGAAGUGAGAGAGACCAGAUGCAGGGACCCCACGGGUCUAUACCUCACGUGAAAGCUCCCAGCUUGAGGAUGCAAGCGGCUGAAACCCAGAUGUUGCACGUACUGUCCCAGCCAGGUACCUAGAAUGACUCCACUGAGCCAAAUGGAGGGAUUCACCCCAGGCAGACGGUAUCGGAGCAGAUCCAUCAGAUCAGCGUCAGCCCAAGUAGAAACCCCAAAAGUCUGAAAGCUGGCACUUGCUCUCAAUCUAAGCAGGGAACGGGGCUAGGCACUGGAGCGAAAAAACGUACAAACACUUGGCCCGGUUCAGAUACACACGCCUUCUACUUUUGUGGUCCCUUAGAGUUAAGUGUGCCUUAAAUGGACCAGCACAUCCUACCCGCUCACAAAUAAGCCUGUCUGACCUCAGUGCACCCCACUGACUUUCAGUCGCUCUUCAAAGGUCACCUUCACCCUUGAACCCCUAGGCUGAGGUCCACGCCCUACCCACAGACUCCAGAAAUUCCUGGUGCAGGCUUAUGUGCUAGAUUGUGAUCUGUCCUUUCCUUUCAUCCUAUCUCCACUACCAGACCUUGAGGGCAAGGAUUUUUAUCUUGUUCGCCUUUGUGUUCCUCGCUCCCAGUACACAUUCGCGCACAACCCCACACACAAAAUAGGUGAUAUCGGAUGGAUGGACGGACAGACGGAAGGAUGGAUGGAUGGAUUUCUUCAUGAUGCUCUACUGGCUUCAAACCAAAUUCAUCAACCAAUUAAUUAAAUCAACAUGGACCCAUCAAUUACUCUAUAAGUGCUUUGUGCUGCCCUCUCCCUCCCUGAGAGUCAGGCUCCGUAAGAUGACCGGCUGUGUGCGUUACUCAGACAUCAGUGUCAGCAGCUGCUCUUUGGCCACUUACAAGACGUCCCCUCUGUGCUCAGGGAUGCGGGAGCCGGAGCACAAGCCUUGCAUCUGUUCGGGACUCCAGC